GUGAAUCAUCGAAUCUUUGAACGCACCUUGCGCUCCUUGGUAUUCCGAGGAGCAUGCCUGUUUGAGUGUCAUGAAAUCUUCAACUUACAAGCUCUUUGCGGGGUUUGUAGGCUUGGACUUGGAGGCUUGUCGGCCUUUAACGGUCGGCUCCUCUUAAAUGCAUUAGCUUGAUUUCCUUGCGGAUCGGCUGUCGGUGUGAUAAUGUCUACUCCGCGACCGUGAAGCGUUUGGCAAGCUUCUAACCGUCUCGUUACAGAGACAGCUUUAUGACCUCUGACCUCAAAUCAGGUAGGACUACCCGCUGAACUUAAGCAUAUCAAUAAGCGGAGGA
rnacentral:misc_RNA from 1 species